rnacentral:lncRNA from 1 species
UCCUUAAUCUGUUCUAAGGUCUUUUAGAACAAAUGUACCUCCCACUAUUUUCUCGAAUUCCUCACACUCUCCUGGUAGGAAAACGAAAAUCCUACACGACUAGGGUUUCUAGUGGGUACUGCGGUCCCACCGAUUUACAUGCCACCUCACCUAACAGUUAUUGGUGACACAUAAAUUGAUGAAUGUACAACUCUUGUACAAUGCUUCUCAAGCAUGUUGCAGUGCUACUUGGUCUCUAAGCCAUGAAGACCUCACCUAACAGUUAUUGGUCCCAUUUCUUAGUUAAGUCAGACCCACCGUAUAAC